GCGCGCUGCGGCGGGGAGGAGAGCGCCGCCUGAAGUCUGCGCGGGGCAGGGAAGGCUCCCCGGAAGGAGGGACGUUUCCAGGGAGACCUGGAGGAAAAUUCCAGGGGUAUGUGUGAUGGGGCCACAGUGAAGCAAUAGGAAUGAUCCUGAAGGGAAUGUUUGGCAGGGCUUCAGACCAACCCAGAAGAGCACAGUAUAACUACAUCAUUGGAGGCAAAAGAGGACAUCAGCCAAAAGGGCCGACUGGCCUUCAGAGCAGUGGUGCCCAAAGUGCUUGGAAGGAAUAGGCAUGGCCACCGAGGGACUGCACAACUCUCAGUUGGGCUUGUGGGGAAAUGGAGCAACCAUCUGGGUGGCAGCAGCCAAGGGUCCCAGCCCCAGCCUGCCACCUCCCAGAGGGACAGAGGCAACUCCACGGGAGCAGCGACGGGAAGGAGCCUCUGGUGGCCCACACACAGGUGAUCCAGAGGCCAGAGCCCUGAGCUCAUGUUCUGUUCAUGCUAAGUCACCCAAAGUCACCUGUCUCAUAACUUCACAGAAGAGAAUAAAGAAAAAACUCAGCUGACCUGCAUAACUUAGGAAAAUGAUGCUUUGGCUGGAGAUUGUAAAGCUAAGGAAGAAGGACUGUACAUAAAUACAGUACUCCACUUGAUAAAUCUGAUUUUCGUGGAGAUAAGAGCCAUGAUCCUGAAACUGCUUUGCAUGCAUCCUGAGGAUGAACAAAGAAGUAAGCGGAAGGUAGGAGUGGGAACAAGUUGCUCACUGUCGAAGGGGAAGUCACUGCUGGGCCAGGGGAGGCUAGAGUGGACCUGUGGCAUGGGGUCACAGCCAGAGAUACUAGUAUGAACUUGUGUUUGCUCAGAAGGAUAGACACAUAGGCUCAGGACAAUUACAGACACACACGUAUGUGUGGGUUAGGGUGCACACCUACAGUUCUCAGCUCUGUCCCCAAAUGGGUCUAGAAUCAAUGACACCCCAUGAGCAUUGAGCCCCCGGCGCCCUUGGAGAGCGGUUGUCUAGUAGAAGAAGCCAGCCCUCUUUGAACAAAUGGCUGUUCUAGGACUGGGGAAUGGAAAAAUACAAGAUGAGCCCGAAGUGUUUUGCAAUGCCAGAAAGUGAGUUCAAAAAAUCUAAAACGGGGAUAAGUGAAAAGGAAAGAAGCUGGCCUGAGGGGAGCCCCAGAGGCCAAAGCUGGAAUAGUUCGAGAAACAAAAUAAGACAGCACUGACUUACAGCCCAAGAAUAAAAUAAGUACAUACAGGUUUAUAUAAGUAAGCAGUGGAAUAAAUAAAUAAAUCUUUCUUAUGGAAAAUUUUAAAAUAUGAGCUGUAGAUACUCUCCCUUCCAAAAGCCUAAUCCCUCUCCCUCUCUCACUUCAGCAAAGGCUGGAUUUCACAGCUCGCUUCCAAAAAUGAGAGUACAAAAGGGAACAAUAAUAACUCUAACGUGGAGAAACGUGGCCAACACUGUCGUACCCAAGUGAUCCCCUGUAACAUCCCCAGUAAUAAGUUAUAGUAAUAGAAUAUCACGUUCUAUCAAUAUGACAUGAAAACAGCAUUUCUUACACACACACACACACACGCACACACGCAGGGAUGUGCACUGUGCAGACACUGUUCUCGGUACCAUGCAGCAUAACAAAAACCGCAGGAGAGACAGGCAGCCAGAGCCAGACCAGGCGUGGGCUCUGAGGUCAACUGAGGAGUCUGUCACUUCUGCAAGAAGUGGGGGACUUUAUUUAACUUGGUUCCAGAAUAGCAUCUGUGUCUAAAAGUUUUACGUUCCCCUUUAACACUCGGGACUGGCCAGGAUGGCAGUGCCAUCUGUCUGGGCAGCAUGCCAAGACCUCAUCUUACGUAGGUCCAGUUUGGUGGCAGCACCUUGAAAACUUUCUGGGUCUGCUCCUGGUCCUUCUACCAGCCAGGGCCCAGCAUGUCCAUUUCUCUUCUGAGCUUUCUCCAGCCUUUGUGGAGAUGUGGGGAAGCAUUUGGUACAUUCAGCACAGACCCAGGUGGGGGCUGAGGAGGGAGGGGCCGGUGAGACGGCCAGGAAUUGGAACCUGACAUUCCAGGAAGGGAAGGAACCUUUUUGCAAACACCAUACCUAAAAUGAAACUGUAAAGCACUGUUAUUAAGGGUAAGUUGCAAAAUAGCAUGUACAGUAGGAAACCAAUUCCAUAAAAUUAAAAAAACAGGGCACUAACAAAUAGGGCCAUAAAUGAGAACGUAUUAAAUUCAUAUGCAAAGCCCUGCUAGGUCCAUAAAUUCAUAUGCAGAAGUCUGCUGGGUCUUUGUAUUCACAGACAAGGGUGUGAUGUGAGUGAUCACCUCUGAGAACAGGGAAAGAGGCUGAGCACUGAGGGAUGCUGCGGCGCCACACAGGCCACUGUCCCCUUCUAACUCCUGCACACAGUCAGUUCAGUGAUCAUAGUCACGCCUUCCCCUCCCAACCCUCUUCCCACAGUGCUUCUCUGAACUUUUUUACUCUUCAGGUAUUGCUACCCCUCCACUGUCCUAAAUUUCUUCCAGGAUCACUGUUUUUUCCAAUUCAACUAACUGCUCUUUCAAUCUUCUCCAUCUCCUUUAUUCCUCACUAAUUCUUACACAAUCCCAGUAGAAAAGAAAAGCUGUGCCUUGCCUAUACCAUAGUUUUUGUUCUUUUAUUCAGAAUUAUCAUAAUAUUAAAAUGUGAUUUUGAAUGUUUUUAAUCUCUAACUCAGAAGAGCAUUUUUUAAGUUAAUUUGCCCAUUAUUAUCUAGAAAUCCUGUGCUGAAGAGGCCUAAGAGAAAACAUUGGAACUGUCGCAGCACCUGCAGAAUUUUCAGGAUGGUAACACCUUUGAAAAUAAUAGUCCCAGACAAGUAUAGGAGAUUCUUUUUUAUUUUUUUAUUAGUUGCAGCAUAGAGAAAAGAGGCCAAAUGUUUAAAGAAUGUAUGUUGCUCAGACAGGUGCUAGCUUUACACCAACAGAAAAGAAAAA